UCAACCAAGAAUAUAGAGAAAGAGCUUCUGCCCUGAGACUCAGAAAAAUAUUCUACACUGCUUCUGUUCAGUAUAGAUUUCUAGACCCUGAUCAUUGCUUAACAGAUUUUCACUGGGGGUCCUACGUCUCUGCAAUUUGUGUAUGAAUAACAGAAUAAUUUUCCUCUUUUGUUUCGCCUUUCCUGUUCCUGAAUCUAAAUAAAGAUGGCUUUUUAGUAUUAAAAGUGGAAGAAAAUUACAGGUAAUUAUCUUUGACGGUAAAAACGCUGUAAUCAGCGGGCUACAUGAAAAAUUACUCUAAUUAUGGCUGCAUUUAAGAGAAUGGAAAAAAAACCUUCUUGUGGAUAAAAACCUUAAAUUGUCCCCAAUGUCUGCUUCAAAUUGGAUGGCACUGCAGCUGGAGGCUUUGUUCAGAAUUGAUCCUGGGGAGCUCUGAACCCAAAGUUUCACAGUAGGAAGGGGGGAAAAAGAAAAGAAAACAUUUUUCUUAAUGUAACAAUACGAAUGGUAGAAAAUGACAAGACUGAUCGGUUUUAAACCAUUCUGAAGACUGACUGAGCGUGGAAGUUGCUCAACAAAAAAAAGGAACGGGUAUAUUGAUGUGGCCUUCAGGAUAACGUCCUACACACCAGUGGAGUGCCUUCACCAGAUAAAGAAGCGACCAAGGAGGAGUAAGGAUGACAUGAGUCAAGAGGUGCUUCAAUCCUCAGAAUGCAGGGUGCAGACUUUAAAAGAAUAUUAUAAAAUAUACAGGCAGGACAGAAAGGAGAGCCAAGAGUGAAAUUUAAUGGGUCAGGAGCACAUUAUAAAAGUGAUGGUGGAGCAAAUGGAGAUGUUGAAGUCCCUAAUCAUGCUGCACACUGAAUUCAUGCAUGGUUCCCUGCCCCCGCAGCCGAUACAGAACUGCUUUCCAUGCCCUCCUGAAAUUCCUCCCAUAUAUUCCUUGCAACUUCCUGGCCUGUCUAGGUAUUCCAUUCAAUCCAUCCCUUCUGACAGCUCCAAGAUGAGAGCUGGACUUGCACAUAGCUAUAAGAGCCUACACUGACCUUCAUUAUUAUCUCCCUUCCCACCAAGCCUUUUGUGUGUGUUGUUAAUUAGUAUUUAAUAAAAACAACCUCUCUGAAAGAUAAUCAAUCUUUAUUUGUCUCCUACACAUGGUGGUUGCUGCUAGAAUUAAUACACAGUGGCAAUUUGAUCAUUUGCUUAGUACAAAUCA